GGUCAAGCUACAAAGGGCUUAUGGUGGAUGACUUGGCACAAAUAGGCGAUGAAGGACGUGGUAAGCUGCGAUAAGCCUCGGGUAAUCGCAAACAGAUUUUGAUCCGAGGAUUUCCGAAUGGAGCAAUCCACUGGGAGUAAUAUCUCAGUAUCGCAUCCUGAAAUUCAAAAUAGGGAUGUGAAGCGAAACCGGGCAAACUGAAACAUCUCAGUAGCCCGAGGAAAAGAAAAAGCACUUUGAUUCCCUCAGUAGCGGCGAGCGAAAGGGGAAGAGCCUAAACCCUGCAGCAAUGCGGGGGGUUGCGGGGCCAGAACUGACCGUAAGGUCGGCUUCUUGCAUACUCAUAACCGAACGGCCUGGAAAGGCCGACCAGAGAAGGUGAUAGUCCUGUAAGUGAAAUGGAUAUGCGGAGGCUGGUUUUGGUACCCAAGUACUACGGGACACGUGAAACCCCGUAGGAAUCCGGCCUGACCACAGGCCAAGGCUAAAUACUAAUUUGUGACCGAUAGCGCAAAAGUACCGUGAGGGAAAGUUGAAAAGAACUCCUUUAAGGAGAGUGAAAUAGUACCUGAAAUCGUAAGCCUACAAGCGGUCCAAGGACUAUGCUCCGAGCAAUCGGAGAAUGUCUGAGGGCGUGCCUUUUGCAUAGUGAUCCUGCGAGUUACUAUAUGUAGCGAGGUUAAUCCGUUUUAACGGAGGAGCCGUAGCGAAAGCGAGUCUUAAAAGGGCGAUUAGUUACGUGUAGUAGACCCGAAGCUGGGUGAUCUAUUCUUGGCCAGGCUGAAGCGUGGGUAAAACCACGUGGAGGGCCGAACCCGUUAGUGUUGAAAAACUAUGGGAUGAGCUGAGAAUCGGAGCGAAAGACUAAUCAAACCCAGAAAUAGCUGGUUCUCCCCGAAAUAACUCUAGGGUUAGCCUCGUGUAAAUGGGCAAUGGGGGUAGAGUACUCGAUGGGCUAAGGACCCUACCAGGUUGCUGAACCCAACGAAACUCCGAAUACCAUUGUACCUUAUCACGGGAGUCAGCCUACGAGGGAUAAGCCUCGUGGACGCGAGAGGAACAUCUCAGACCGCUAGCUAAGGUCCCUAAUAUACGUUAAGUGGCAAAGGAUGUGGAUUUACAUUGACAACCGGGAUGUUGGCUCAGAGGCAGCCAUCAUUUAAAGAGUGCGUAACAGCUCACCGGUCGAUUGCGAGUCUGCGCCUACAAUGAUCGGGGCUAAACUUAUAACCGAAGCCGCGGAUUUGUCCCCCUUUUUGCUUUCGCAAGAAAGCAGGGGGAUAAGUGGUAGGGGAGCAUUCCACAUUAGAGUGAAGGUAGACCGUAAGGACUACUGGACGAAGUGGAAGAGAUUAUGCAGGAAUGAGUAGCGAAAAAACACGUGCGAAACGUGUUCGCCGAAAGUCUAAGGUUUCCUGGGGAAGGUUAAUCCGCCCAGGGUUAGUCGAUCCUAAGCUGAGGCCGAAGGGCGUAAGCGAUGGACAGUAGGGUAAAAUAUUCCUACACCACCUAUUUAGCGUUAUCAGUUCAGGGUGACGCGGAAGGUUAGAUCUACCCGGUUUUGGAUAUCCGGGGCUGCGUUUGUAGUGCCGCGAAAGCGGAAUACGAGGAACGCGGGGAGCUCAAUCUACGGAAAGAGCGAACUGGUUGACACCAUGCCGCCAAGAAAAACCUCUGUAACGAGUUGGAUAGGUGCUCGUACCGCAAUCCGACACAGGUAGACGGGCAUAAUAUGCUCAGGCGCUCGAGAGAACCCUCGUUAAGGAACUCGGCAAAAUGACCCCGUAACUUAGGGAAAAGGGGUGUCUUCGUUGGUGAACUGCACAAGGGAGCUGACGGGGAUUACAAUGAAGAGGAUCGGAUGACUGUUUAGCAAAAACACAGCACUCUGCAAAGUCGUAGAUACAAGACGAUGUAUAGGGUGUGACACCUGCCCGGUGCUGGAAGGUUAAGGGAAAGGGUUAGUUCCGAGCAAUCGGAACGAAGCCUAGAACCGAAGCCCCAGUAAACGGCGGCCGUAACUAUAACGGUCCUAAGGUAGCGAAAUUCCUUGUCGGGUAAGUUCCGACCCGCACGAAUGGUGUAACAAUCUGAUCGCUGUCUCAACGAGGGGUUCGGCGAAAUUGUAGUGGCGGUGAAGAUGCCGUCUUCCCGCGAGUAGACGAAAAGACCCCAGAACCUUUACUGUACUCUGGUAUUGGAUUUUGAUCCUGUAUGUGUAGGAUAGGUGGGAGGCUUUGAAGUUCCGGCGCUAGCCGGGAUGGAGCCAUCGGUGAAAUACCACCCUUACUGUAUUAGAAUUCUAACCGCGUCCCUUUAACAGGGCGUGGGACAGUGCUAGACGGGCAGUUUGACUGGGGCGGUUUCCUCCUAAAGAGUAACGGAGGAGCACAAAGGUUCCCUCAGUGCGGUUGGCAAUCGCACGGUGAGUGUAAGGGCAGAAGGGAGCUUAACUGUGAGUCCGACAGGACGAACAGAUGCGAAAGCAGGUCCUAAUGAUCCGGCGGUUGAAUGUGGAAUUGCCGUCGCUCAACGAAUAAUAGGUACUCUGGGGAUAACAGGCUUAUCGGUUCCGAGAGUUCAUAUCGACGAACCGGUUUGGCACCUCGAUGUCGGCUCAUCGUAUCCUGGGGCUGGAGAAGGUCCCAAGGGUCCGGCUGUUCGCCGGUUAAAACGGUACGCGAGCUGGGUUCAGAACGUCGUGAGACAGUUCGGUCUCUAUCUCUCGCGGGUGCAGGAUACUUGAGAGGAGUUGCCCUUAGUACGAGAGGACCAGGGCAAACGGACCUCUGGUGUUCCAGCUGUCACGCCAGUGGCAACGGCUGGGUAGUCAUGUCCGGAAGGGAUAAGCGCUGAAAGCAUCUAAGCGCCAAGCCCACCUCAAAAAUAGGUAUCCCCCAUCGUAAAGAUGGUCGAAAGCACCUUGAAGUCUACAAGGUUGAUAGGCCGGAAGUGUAAGCCCUGUAAGGGGCGAGCUUACCGGUACUAAUCUGCUGAUCGGCUUGACCAC
rnacentral:rRNA from 1 species